GAUGAACGCUGGCGGCGUGCCUAAUACAUGCAAGUCGAGCGAACAGACGAGGAGCUUGCUCCUCUGACGUUAGCGGCGGACGGGUGAGUAACACGUGGAUAACCUACCUAUAAGACUGGGAUAACUUCGGGAAACCGGAGCUAAUACCGGAUAAUAUCUUUAACCGCAUGGUUCAAUAUUGAAAGACGGUUUUGCUUUCACUUAUAGAUAGAUCCGCUCCGCAUUAGCAAGUUGUUAAGUUAACGGCUUACAAAGGCAACGAUCCGUAGCCAACCUGAGAGGGUGAUCGGCCACACUGGAACUGAGAAACGGUCAAGACUCCUACGGGAGGCAGCAGUAGGGAAUCUUCCGCAAUGGGCGAAAGCUUGACGGAGCAACGCCGGGUGAGUGAUGAAGGUCUUCGGAUCGUAAAACUCUGUUAUUAGGGAAGAAGAAAUGUGUAAGUAAAUAUGCACGUAUUGACGGUACCUAAUCAGAAAGCCACGGCUAACUACGUG
rnacentral:rRNA from 1 species